rnacentral:rRNA from 1 species
UACGAAGGGGGCUAGCGUUGUUCGGAAUUACUGGGCGUAAAGGGCGCGUAGGCGGUACUUCAAGUCAGACGUGAAAUCCCCAGGCUCAACCUGGGAACUGCGUCUGAUACUGGAUGGCUUGAAUCCGGGAGAGGGAUGCAGAAUUCCAGGUGUAGCGGUGAAAUGCGUAGAUAUCUGGAGGAAUACCGGUGGCGAAGGCGGCAUCCUGGACCGGCAUUGACGCUGAGGAGCGAAAGCCAGGGGAGCAAACGGG